UAUCUCUGUAGAGUCUGCAUAUCAAUAAGCGGAGGAAAAGAAACUAACUAGGAUUCCCUCAGUAACGGCGAGUGAAGCGGGAAGAGCUCAAAUUUGAAAUCUUCAAGGUUCUACCUUGACGAAUUGUAGUUUAAAGAAGUGUUUUCUGUUGGAGUUUUGGUAAAAGUUCUUUGGAAUAGGACAUCAUAGAGGGUGAGAAUCCCGUAUUUGACCAUUAUUUCCAGCUUUGUGAUACACUUUCAAAGAGUCGGAUUGUUUGGGAAUGCAGUCCAAAAUGGGUGGUAAAUUUCAUCUAAAGCUAAAUAUUGGCGAGAGACCGAUAGCGAACAAGUACCGUGAGGGAAAGAUGAAAAGAACUUUGAAAAGAGAGUUAAACAGUACGUGAAAUUGUCAAAAGGGAAGCGUUUGACACCAGUGUUGUUUUCUCGAAAAUCAAUUAAAAAAGGCAGGAUUUUGUGUUGUAUUGACUUUAUCAGCUUUCUGCACUCUUUUCUUGUCUUUUUUUAAUGCACUUUUCGUUUAACAAGUCAACAUCAAUUUCUUUUGUUGUAAAAGGGUCAUUGGAAGGUGGCUUUCUUUUCGGAGAAAGUGUUUAUAGCCUUUGGCCUCUGCAAUCGGAGAGAUUGAAGGUCUGCAGCGUAGAUCCUUCGGGGUUAGAUACAUUUGUGCUAAGUUAUAGCCUUUCAUAGACAACUUGUUGACUAUGAUCAGUCAUGUAGCUUACUCGCUUAUGCUAUUUUACCUACGCUUAGGAUGUUGAUAGUCACAGCGUGUAC
rnacentral:rRNA from 1 species